GAUGUCGUCCACGCCUGCGCCUACGCUCCUUCGGGGGCAUGAGGAUGGGGUGGUUGCCUCGGGGAAAGAGGCACCUUCUGCGUCAGCUCUGGCUGCUGCGGCGAUAGAACCAGAUGCGUCUCCGUCGA
rnacentral:ribozyme from 1 species